rfam:Candidate division WOR_3 bacterium SM23_60 WORSMTZ_35390, whole genome shotgun sequence.
CGGGGCGUAGCGCAGUGGUUUAGCGCGCAUGGUUCGGGACCAUGAGGUCGUGGGUUCAAAUCCCACCGCCCCGA